rnacentral:rRNA from 1 species
GACGAACGCUGGCGGCGUGCCUAAUACAUGCAAGUAGAACGCACAGUUUAUACCGUAGCUUGCUACACCAUAGACUGUGAGUUGCGAACGGGUGAGUAACGCGUAGGUAACCUGCCUGGUAGCGGGGGAUAACUAUUGGAAACGAUAACUAAUACCGCAUAAUAUUAAUUAUUGCAUGAUAAUUAAUUUAAAGGUGCAAUUGCACCACUACCAGAUGGACCUGCGUUGUAUUAGCUAGUAGGUGAGGUAACGGCUCACCUAGGCGACGAUACAUAGCCGACCUGAGAGGGUGAUCGGCCACACUGGGACUGAGACACGGCCCAGACUCCUACGGGAGGCAGCAGUAGGGAAUCUUCGGCAAUGGACGAAAGUCUGACAGAGCAACGCAGCGUGAGUGAAGAAGGUGUUCGGAUCGUAAAGCUCUGUUGUAAGAGAAGAACGGGUGUGAGAGUGGAAAGUUCACACUGUGAAGGUAUCUUACCAGAAAGGGACGGCUAACUACGUG